GCUAGCGUGGCCGAGUGGUUUAGGGCACUGGUCUUCUAAUCCGGAGGCCCCCUGGUUCAAAUCCUCCAUCCUUGCCACUAGUA